rnacentral:rRNA from 1 species
UACGGGGGGGUGCGAGCGUUGUCCGGGAAUCACUGGGCGUAAAGGGCGCGUAGGUGGUUUGAUAAGGGUGUGGUGAAAGCCCGGGGCUCAACCCCGGGUCUGCCGUGCCGACUGUCAAACUCGAGGGCUGUAGAGGCAGACGGAAUUCCGGGUGUAGCGGUGGAAUGGCGUAGAGAUCCGGAGGAAGACCGGUGGCGAAGGCGGUCUGCUGGGCAGUUUCUGACACUGAUGCGCGACAGCGUGGGGAGCAAACAGG